rnacentral:rRNA from 1 species
UGGGGAAUAUUGCACAAUGGGCGCAAGCCUGAUGCAGCCAUGCCGCGUGUGUGAAGAAGGCCUUCGGGUUGUAAAGCACUUUCAGCGAGGAGGAAGGUGGUGAACUUAAUACGUUCAUCAAUUGACGUUACUCGCAGAAGAAGCACCGGCUAACUCCGUGCCAGCAGCCGCGGUAAUACGGAGGGUGCAAGCGUUAAUCGGAAUUACUGGGCGUAAAGCGCACGCAGGCGGUUUGUUAAGUCAGAUGUGAAAUCCCCGGGCUCAACCUGGGAACUGCAUUUGAAACUGGCAAGCUAGAGUCUCGUAGAGGGGGGUAGAAUUCCAGGUGUAGCGGUGAAAUGCGUAGAGAUCUGGAGGAAUACCGGUGGCGAAGGCGGCCCCCUGGACGAAGACUGACGCUCAGGUGCGAAAGCGUGGGGAGCAAACAGGAUUAGAUACCCCUGGUAGUCCACGCUGUAAAACGAUGUCGAUUUUGGAGGUUGUGCCCCUUGAGGCGUGGCUUCCGGAGCUAACGCGUUAAAUCGACCGCCUGGGGAGUACGGCC